GUUUUUCAAAUACAAAACAGGAAGCACUAUAACAAAAGACUCAAAAAUCUUAACUAGACCGACAGACUCGAUACUACUGUACAAGAUUAAUAAUUAAAAAACAACAUAAAAUAGACUAAAAAAUAAAAAGUUUCCUCAAGCAACUCGUGCAUGCAAUGCCCUUGACUAGAAUGGUCCUGGGGUAUUUGUCACGGUCAAACUCUAGAAAAUUAAUCCAUACCUGAAUGAGAAAAAUAAGAUCAAAUAGAGUUAGCGGCUCAAGACACUAUGCGACGCCACAACACCUCCUAUGGGACACAUGCAAGACACGAUUGAGCUAUUUAUGAAAAUUAACUUAUGUGGCCAAGAGUGGAUAGAAGUGUAGACUCAACAAGAUUGACCUCAUAAACAUGGAAAAUGCCUUACUACGUCUUAUAUGGAUUCAAAUUCCCAAUAAUCACAGUCAAAAAAAUUAAUUUGCAUAAAUGACCCAUUUUGCAAAAAUGGCCUAUGUGGCCGAAAGUGGCUAAAGAUGCAAACUCAAAAAGGAAGGACCUUAAAGUAAUAUUACACCGAGUUGUGGACUCAAGAUCCUAAGACAUGAGUAAUUGAACCACUUUUGCGAAAAUAACCCAAUUUUGCAAGAAUGGCCGAUGUGGCCAAAAGUGGCUAGACAUGCAAGAUUUGGCUAAUACACCGCGAAGCAAAUAACCUAAAACUUACUAGGAAAACCGGACCCUAUGUGGGCUGCCUGCGUAUCCCGCCCCGAAAGACGAGAAUCAGGUAUGCGUAGUUCGGGAAGAUUGGAUAUGAGAGAAAGCUUAAAAAAUGACACUAAUUUGGAAAAAAUAUUUUUUUUUGUCUUUUUGACAAAUGAUGGAAAAUGUAAAAUCUUUUUGGAUUUUGAUUUUUUUAUUUUUUGGAAAAUGAGGGGAAAGUGCAAAAUCUUUUUGGAUUUUUCAUUUUCGUUUUUUUAAAGGUUGUGAAAAAAAUAUAACUGGGCCCUACUUUCUUCAUUUUUCACCCUUCUUUCCCAAGCAUCGGUCCGCCAAAUGAUCUUUCUACCCUCGUAGAUGCAACAUUUAUCACAUAGGGAUGAUUGAAUGUCUUUUUAGGCCACGGGCCCAUUUUUGACAAAAUUUGGAGAGGCUUCCUACAAAGGGACGCAGUUCCUAGGACCGAACCCUGCUAGGUCUAAAUAACAUUAUGCAAAUAAAAAUGACCUAAAGGCUGACCUAAGUUUGGGGUCCACUAACAAGGCAAUUCGGGGGAGCGUAUGGUCGAUGGUGGCUGCUUAAGCUUUCCACCCACUCCAUACGUCCGACGCCCCCCUCCCUCUAAAUUAAGGGUGACUCAACAAAGAGUUCGUGUACGCGACGCGUACUCCGAGACUUGUUGCAGAAAGAAGACCCAUGGUUAUGCAAAUGAUGACAGUUUAUAAAGCAGUAACACAUUAAGAAAAGCGAUAAACAAAUUACCAACAAAAUAAGGAAAUAAGACAAACAAAGCAAAUAAAGAAAACAAACACCUCAACCGAAUAUCGUAAAAGCCAACAAGAUCAACUACCAGCUCGAACCUGCAAGUCCCCAGCAGAGUCGCCAGAGAUGUCACACCCUUUUUUCCACCAAACUUCACUAACUUUCUUAAAAUAAAUAAAAGAAUUUUUGAAGCUCAAAAGGGUUUUUAAUUAAAAAGUGACAAGUUGUGUUCAAAAGGAAAUAACUCAGAGUCACCACCUAACUUUGAUUUCGGUGUGUCAGGUCACCGUUUUUUUUAAAAAAAAUAAUUUUUCCUGUCAAACACUUUGGACUCCAAAACUAAGUCUACACCAGAGAUUCGGGUAAGGGGGUUCAUUUGACUCGAGGAGAAGGUGUUAGGCACUCCCUAAGUCCCGUAACUAGUACGGUUGCAAACUUGAUCUAGUCGGCUUUUAAGAAUAUUCUAAUUGAGGCAAAAACACAUAAAACGAGAUAAGCACACAAAGGCUCGAGGUUGUCCCCACCUAAUAAAAGAAAAUAAAAAAAAAUAAAGUCCAAAAUACUAAUAUAUACUAUAUUUUUCCUCAAGGUUCGUCAUGGCCUCCAAAUACAUGAUACUACGGGGCAUACCCCGGAUAAAAAUAAAUACAAAUUCUUCAGGGCAUUCCCCCGAUAAAUUUAACUAAAGAAACGACCUCUCGCCUCGAAACUAACAAAAAUCCUAAGGCUUGCCUACCCAAGCGUUGAUGGCCUAAUCCUUUGCUAGCGGCCAAAGGGAAAAUUAAACAACAGAACUAAAAAUAUAACGCUAGUCCAUUCCUUUAAUAUUAUCCAGACCAACCAUUUAAUUCAUUCAUUAGCCUAACUUUCCUGACACAUCUCACAGAGCUUUAUUUUUUCCACGCAGCCUACCAUCGUUCUAAUUUUAUAUGCCAAACUUAAUAAGUAACGACAGAAAAGUAGGUGGCAAUCAUCCGCUAACUUGCAAUCAAAUGAAAUACUCAAAUCCCGGCAAUAACAUACAAUCAAAAUAGACAAUGCAUGAAAAUAAGCAGUAAUGAAUCAAAGUUAUCCAAAUACCGAACGACACAGGAAAAGCAUAGAAAGAAAAAUAAAAGUAAACCCAAAUGGACUAACAUCACAUUACAUAUCACAUAGUAUCAAGACAAUGAAGAUUAAGGGAAGAAAUGGACCUCCAGCAGAGAAAUUUUCCUUCGAGCUUGAGGAAUUUAAGAAAUAGAAACUUGAAUUACACAGUAAAAUCCAACCAUCAAAAUCACGAAUCGGAACCGCGAACUCGGCAACCACGAAAGGAAAUUCCAAAUCCGAACACCCACUUCAGCUCGAUUCCAUUUUUUGAAGAUCAAAUCAAAAAGGAGGAAAUUCCGAAAUAUAAUUUUCUUUUAUAAUUUUUAAUAAAACAUGAAGUCGAACAAAAAUUGUAAAAUGGAAAGAAGAAAACUCCUUGCUCUGCCAUUCUCCCAAAUUUCUGCUAAGGUUUUUGCUUAUCGAAAUUAGCUAUUAUGGAUAAGGGAAGGAAGAUGAAAUUGAAGAAAAGAAGGCACCCAUACUUUUCGUUCCUUCCCCUUCCCCUUUUCGUUCCUGUUUCGUCUUCGGUCGACCUCCCCGUUCUAUGUCCGUGUGUGCGUGUGUAUGGAUCUCUUUGCAUUUUUGUGUGUGUCUAUUUUUCGAUGGCUUUUGGUGGAAAAGAUUUGGGGGUGCCGCUGGUCAGAGGGGUAAGGCAGACGACUAUUGGGGAAGGUUGUGCGGCGGCGGCAGCUGGGAUGAUUCUCUAGGGUUCAGCCUAGGGUUUUUGUUGUUGUCUCCAUGAAGAAGAGGCUAGGGCAACAACUGGUCUCUUUUCUAGGUCUAGGUUUUUUUUUUGUAUAUUAUGCUAAAUGGGGUAUGGCUAACAAGAUUUGGGCUUCAAAAUUGGGCUCUAGUUUCCUACAAAAAUUGGGCUAAGAAAGCUAAAAAUUCAAUUUGUUUUUAAGAAAAUAUGAAUAUUUAUAAAAGAU
rnacentral:lncRNA from 1 species